rnacentral:rRNA from 1 species
UACAGAGGUCUCAAGCGUUGUUCGGAUUCAUUGGGCGUAAAGGGCGUGUAGGUGGUUGCGUAAGUCUGGCGUGAAAUUUUUCGGCUUAACCGGGAAAGGUCGUCGGAUACUGCGGAACUCGAGGACGGUAGAGGCGUGUGGAAUUCCGGGUGUAGUGGUGAAAUGCGUAGAGAUCCGGAGGAACACCAGUGGCGAAGGCGACACGCUGGGCCGUACCUGACACUGAUGCGCGACAGCAUGGGGAGCAAACAGG